UUGCACUUUUUAAGUUGUAGCCGCUGUGUAUGUAUGUUGCUACCCCGCCAUGUCAAGGCCGUGGCCCAUUUUACAUAAUUUUGUGAAAUCAUAUAUUCAAUUCUGGUAGGAGUGCAUGAUCGUCGCCCUUUCGUUGAAACCUCGACGCUUGCCAACCAACUGCAUCGGGACGUUGCCCUUCCCGCACAAGUCGUCUAGAGUCUCGACAGUAUUCCUGUGGCCAAGGCAUACCACCAGACAGGCAACAUGUUUUACGUUCUCAAUUGUGCUUUAGGUCCUCGUCGACAGGCAUCGGCCAUACAGACACGGAGCCGUUUACGACCUUGAUGCCAACACAGGUCUUCCUCCCUGAAAGGCAGUACCCAGAUCAGUGCCACGAUGCCUUACAUGCAUAAUCGCGCUUUUGUAACUACAUGCCUGGUCCCCCACCAAGUUGUGUCUGGCUAAUCUGAGGGGUGCGGUGGACAAAAUGUCACUUGUGCGUGUUGUGAUUUCGGCCUGACUUCACUGUUUACUUGGUUCACUGUUCCGAUAGGACGCGAACUGCGUCUGGGCCGACCUUUUUUUGGUCUUAUCGUAAGAACAAGAUCUCCAAGUGCUAUUUGUUCUCUGAAGCUACACUGCGUCUUUAGCUGAAUGUAACAAUUAUUGCUUGUCAGGACUUUUGCGUGUCCUUGAGAUUUGAGGCAUAGUGUCAGCUGGCUU
rnacentral:lncRNA from 1 species